rnacentral:misc_RNA from 2 species
UUGAGUGUUACAACUCCCAAACCCUUUGUGAACCUUACCUACCGUUGCUUCGGCGGGAACGCCCCCGGCGCCCCGCCGAAGGCACCAAACUCUAGCUUGCUCCAGUGGUUUUCUCUCUGAGUGGCAUAAGCAAAAAUAAAAUCA